GAUGAACGCUGGCGGCGUGCUUAACACAUGCAAGUCGAACGGAAAGGCCCAAGCUUGCUUGGUUGCUCGAGUGGCGAACGGGUGAGUAACACGUGGGGGAUCUGCCCUUCACUUUGGGAUAAGCCUGGGAAACUGGGUCUAAUACCGGAUAGGACCAUCGUUUAGUGUCGGUGGUGGAAAGAUUGUCGGUGUGGGAUGAGCUCGCGGCCUAUCAGCUUGUUGGUGGGGUAAUGGCCUACCAAGGCGUCGACGGGUAGCCGGCCUCAGAGGGUGUACGGCGACACUGGGACUGAGGGACGGCAGAGACUCCUACGGGAGGCAGAAGUGCGGAAGCUUGAACAAUGAGCGCCGGGCUGAUGCAGCGAGGCUGCGUGGCGGAUGACGGCCUUAGGGUUGUAGAAUACUUGCGCAAAGGACGAAGCGCUUUGUGACGGUACUUGGAGAAGAAGCCCCGGCUAACUACGUG
rnacentral:rRNA from 1 species